GACGUAGGGCGCGAGCGUUGUCCGGACUUAUUGGGCGUAAAGAGCUCGUAGGCGGCUUGUCGCGUCGUCCGUGAAAGCCCGGGGCUUAACCCCGGGUCUGCAGUCGAUACGGGCAGGCUAGAGUGUGGUAGGGGAGAUCGGAAUUCCUGGUGUAGCGGUGAAAUGCGCAGAUAUCAGGAGGAACACCGGUGGCGAAGGCGGAUCUCUGGGCCAUUACUGACGCUGAGGAGCGAAAGCGUGGGGAGCGAACAGG
rnacentral:rRNA from 1 species